rnacentral:rRNA from 1 species
GACGAACGCUGGCGGCGUGCUUAACACAUGCAAGUCGAACGGAAAGGCCCUGCUCUUGUGGGGUGCUCGAGUGGCGAACGGGUGAGUAACACGUGAGUAACCUGCCCUUGACUUUGGGAUAACUUCAGGAAACUGGGGCUAAUACCGGAUAGGAGCUCCUGCUGCAUGGUGGGGGUUGGAAAGUUUCGGCGGUUGGGGAUGGACUCGCGGCUUAUCAGCUUGUUGGUGGGGUAGUGGCUUACCAAGGCUUUGACGGGUAGCCGGCCUGAGAGGGUGACCGGCCACAUUGGGACUGAGAUACGGCCCAGACUGCUACGGGAGGCAGCAGUGGGGAAUAUUGCACAAUGGGCGGAAGCCAGAUGCAGCAACGCCGCGUGCGGGAUGACGGCCUUCGGGUUGUAAACCGCUUUCGCCUGUGACGAAGCGUGAGUGACGGUAAUGGGUAAAGAAGCACCGGCUAACUACGUG